rnacentral:rRNA from 1 species
GACGAACGCUGGCGGCGUGCUUAACACAUGCAAGUCGAACGGAAAGGCCCUGCUUUUGUGGGGUGCUCGAGUGGCGAACGGGUGAGUAACACGUGAGUAACCUGCCCUUGACUUUGGGAUAACUUCAGGAAACUGGGGCUAAUACCGGAUAGGAGCUCCUGCUGCAGGGUGGGGGUUGGAAAGUUUCGGCGGUUGGGGAUGGACUCGCGGCUUAUCAGCUUGUUGGUGGGGUAGUGGCUUACCAAGGCUUUGACGGGUAGCCGGCCUGAGAGGGUGACCGGCCACAUUGGGACUGAGAUACGGCCCAGACUCCUACGGGAGGCAGCAGUGGGGAAUAUUGCACAAUGGGCGGAAGCCUGAUGCAGCAACGCCGCGUGCGGGAUGACGGCCUUCGGGUUGUAAACCGCUUUCGCCUGUGACGAAGCGUGAGUGACGGUAAUGGGUAAAGAAGUACCGGCUAACUACGUG